rnacentral:lncRNA from 1 species
GAUCUAUUGGAAUUCUCUAUUUUAUCCACACAAGAAUAACUCAACCCACACAACCUAAGUUCGAAAAAUAAUAUCGUGGAGAAGAGUGUUUCUUUUAUUUUCUUUUUUCUUAAAAACAGCUUUUCGCGCUUUUUCGAGAAACCAAACAACUUAGUGACGGUCUCUGUGAAAUUAAUUUAUUUUUUCAAUUCAUUACUAUAAAAGAAGAAACACAUUAGUU